GUUCAGAUUUGUCUGCUGAGGAGGAUGAGUCCUUGCCAGACAAGAAAAAGGAAGAUACAGUGGUGCUUCCAGUUCCUCCGCCAAAGAUUAAGCUCUCACAUAGGGGACAAAAUGCAAUGCUGCUCCAGUUACCUGCACCCCCAGAACUGACUAACACCGCCAUUAUACAACCAGAUAGUCCUUCAUCUUCAGACAUUUCUGGAUGUUCUCGUCCAGUGCUUCACCGUUCACCCACAAGGUCUAAAUCAUCAGAAGCAUUUAGUCCAGUGACAGCCA